rnacentral:rRNA from 1 species
CACGUAGGGUGCGAGCGUUGUCCGGAAUUAUUGGGCGUAAAGAGCUCGUAGGCGGUGUGUCGCGUCGGCCGUGAAAACCUGCAGCUUAACUGUGGGCUUGCGGUCGAUACGGGCAUCACUGGAGUUCGGCAGGGGAGACUGGAAUUCCUGGUGUAGCGGUGAAAUGCGCAGAUAUCAGGAGGAACACCGGUGGCGAAGGCGGGUCUCUGGGCCGAUACUGACGCUGAGGCGCGAAAGCGUGGGUAGCAAACGGG